rfam:Danio rerio chromosome 13, GRCz11 reference primary assembly.
AAGUCGCUCAUCUGUAAGUCGCUUUGGAUAAAAGCGUCUGCUAAAUGACUAAAU